CAGUAGUCAGCUGUCGGGACAGAACCAUUCCUGUAACAGUGUUACACUGAAUGUUCUGUCUUCUUCUCCAGUUGCCUUCGUCACUGUUCUGGUGGCGUCUGGCACUGGUGAGGGCAGAGCUGUGCUUCCUUGAGAGUAUGCUAAACAUUCACUUUGGCUGCUUAGUUCUAGUCUGGGAGCAGACACA
rnacentral:snoRNA from 1 species